GAUGAACGCUGGCGGCGUGCCUAAUACAUGCAAGUCGAGCGAAUGGAUUAAGAGCUUGCUCUUAUGAAGUUAGCGGCGGACGGGUGAGUAACACGUGGGUAACCUGCCCAUAAGACUGGGAUAACUCCGGGAAACCGGGGCUAAUACCGGAUAACAUUUUGAACCGCAUGGUUCGAAAUUGAACGGCUGCCCCGGCUGUCACUUAUGGAUGGACCCGCGUCGCAUUAGCCAGUUGGUGAGGUAACGGCUCAACAAGGCAACGAUGCGUAGCCGACCUGAGAGGGUGAUCGGCCACACUGGGACUGAGACACGGCCCAGACUCCUACGGGAGGCAGCAGUAGGGAAUCGUCCGCAAUGGACGAAAGUCUGACGGAGCAACGCCGCGUGAGUGAUGAAGGCUUUCGGGUCGUAAAACUCUGUUGUUAGGGAAGAACAAGUGCUAGUUGAAUAAGCUGGCACCUUGACGGUACCUAACCAGAAAGCCACGGCUAACUACGUGCCAGCAGCCGCAGUAA
rnacentral:rRNA from 1 species